UUUAGGCAAACAACACAUCAUUGCUGCAUGCAUAUUGCUAUUUACAUUUGAAUAAUAACCUAGAUAAAUUUUGUGCGGAAUUCCUAACUCAAAAGGGAUUCAUCCAUCGAGACUUGGCUGCGAGAAACAUUCUGGUGGACAAGAAAAACGUUGUGAAAAUCGGUGAUUUUGGUCUCACGCGCUACACAUACGAUAACAAGGUGUAUGUCAACCGGAAGGGUGGUCGUCUGCCCCUCAAGUGGAUGUCGGUCGAAGCCAUCAAAGAGCUGACGUUCUCUACCGCCAGUGAUGUGUGGUCUUUUGGUGUCCUUCUUUUCGAAAUUGUCACUCUUGGAGGAACGCCAUACCCAACUAUCGACACACGAGAUUUGCUGCGAGAACUUGAAAAUGGAUACCGAAUGGAAAAACCAGAAAACUGUUCGGAAGAAAUGUAUCAAGUCAUGCAUUCAUGUUGGCGGGAAGAUCCAAACAGACGACCAAGUUUCAGCAAUUUACGACAAACUUUUGAUACGAUGUUGGAAAAAAGUUGCAGUGAACAUUACUUGGAUUUUGAACUUGACGAUAGCAAAAUUUACUAUCAUGUUCACGAAGAAUUUGAUAACAAUACAGGAACGGGCAAGAUUUCCUCUUCCGGUAUACAACUCCAACUUUCAGGUCUUUUUGCAAAAACAAAUCGACACGAAAUAUCAGAAGACAAUAAAGUUUAUGACGUCAUAGAACACGUGGACGACGUCACUUGUCCAGACGCAGGAGAGGAAAUGCUGGGAAACGACUGUUCUUGUUCCGAACCCUCGGGGGACAAGGAUGAGGAACUUUCAUCCAGGACAACUAGUGACACAGUUUCGCUUCCAAAUAACAGAAUGGUGACGUUUAGUAGGGAUUCCUUGAAGACGUCUCCAGUUCGGAAAAGAAUUCGUCAAGGAUCACCCCACGUGAAUAAAAAGAAUUCCAUUUUAUCUUUUCAAACUACAGAUGCAAUGACAGACAAGUACGGACACGCUUCUCGCUUAUGUAGACACAAACCUCUUACUUCAAAUUCAUCAAAAUCCAGCAGUAAUUCUAGCAGUCCCGACCUCGAACGAGUCCCAAGGAAUAGCAUACUAGACUGCGAUGCUGAUGAAAGUAGCAUUGGAAGUUCUUGCUCAAAAUGUUCCACGUCCUCAAAUGGCGACGACGACGUAUUCUACCCAAACAGUUAUGGCGAUCUUCACAGAGGACCACCCACUCCUUAUAAACUCGUUCAUAAGCCAAACCGGUACGGUCAUAAUGCCCGAAAAGGAAUCACAACUACCCCAAAUCCGAUUUCACCUGCAAAGGAGGAUAUGCAAAAUGAUUCCGGUGUGUCCACUUCCAGUGCUAGUGAACUGCGUCCCAUAAAUAACAGAAUUUUCGUUUUUCCUCCGGACAGCAAUCGUCCUACGGUGGACUAAUGAAGGGCAAAGUAUAACGGACAAUUCCUCCUCGGUUUCGGACAGUGAUACCAAAACCAUUUCCCAGGACAAUGGAAUGUCGACGGACACCUGUGUCUGGGACAGCGAUGAACAGACGCUCGAUACAUAUGUCUAGACUCAUUGGUGUCCAAAAUGAAUAAAUGGCAUUUUUCAAUAAAUCAUAAAUAUGUUUUCAAACCCAAAAUUUUAUAUUUUAAAUUUUGUAAAUUAUUAUUUACGUGGAUUAAACGUUUGGCUAUUUAAGCCAAGAUCAGUC
rnacentral:misc_RNA from 1 species